AUUAGACUAUUUGUAUCCUAAUUUUAAAAUUAUUUUUGAAAAGCUACAACAAAUUUUUAAUCGAAGUUAAAAAAUGCAUUCCCUUUAAACACACUAAUUCUGCAAUUGUAUUUUAACAACUAUUAAUUUUGUCAGACAUGAUUUGUUUAAAAUAAAUUCAUCUUGUUCAUUGCUCAUGAUUCCUUUGUCUUCAAGAUGUUUACUGAUUUUUCUUCCAGUACUUUAUUGAAAAUAUUGUCACCAUUUCAAGUUACACUUUCAUGACAUUCAUUACAAGAAUUGUUUCUUACUCAAAAUCUUUAGGUCUUCUAAAUUUCCCAAUUAGAAUAAACCUCCUUAAAACCUCCUUUACCUGAUUCUGGAUGAUAGCCAUCUCAAAAUGUAUUUUAAACUCAUUUUAUACUUCUCAAAAUUGUAUUCCAACAUUGAAGUAGCAACACAAAUAAAACUUGGUUGGCAAACAUUCUAAAUAAUAGUACAUUGUUCUACAUUGUCAUGAGAUGCAUUAUUGAUUAAUUAGUAGCAUUAUCACUUGCUAUUCUCUGUACUACAGUUGCUAUGAUAAAUUCUACUGCCAAUCAGC
rnacentral:lncRNA from 1 species